ACGGAAGGCAGCAGUGGGGAAUAUUGCACAAUGGGGGAAACCCUGAUGCAGCGACGCCGCGUGAGUGAAGAAGUAUUUCGGUAUGUAAAGCUCUAUCAGCAGGAAAGAUAAUGACGGUACCUGACUAAGAAGCACCGGCUAAAUACGUGCCAGCAGCCGCGGUAAUACGUAGGGGGCAAGCGUUAUCCGGAUUUACUGGGUGUAAAGGGAGCGUAGACGGCUUUGCAAGUCUGAAGUGAAAGCCCGGGGCUCAACCCCGGAACUGCUUUGGAAACUGUAGAGCUAGAGUGCAGGAGAGGUAAGUGGAAUUCCUAGUGUAGCGGUGAAAUGCGUAGAUAUUAGGAGGAACACCGGAGGCGAAGGCGGCUUACUGGACAGAAACUGACGCUCAGGCACGAAGGCGUGGGGAGCAAACAGGAUUAGAUACCCUGGUA
rnacentral:rRNA from 1 species